rnacentral:lncRNA from 1 species
AAGCAAUAAUGUGUAUGUUUGCAUAAUAUUUCUAGCAUUUGAUCAAUAAAAGGUAAGGGGUAAUGAUCUUUCUUAGUAGCUUUAUUUAAUUUGCGGAAAUCAAUUACCAUCCUAUAGCCUAUGAUAAUUCUUUGUGGGAUCAGUUCAUCUUUAUCAUUAGGGACAACAGUAAUACCUCCCUUCUUAGGGACACAAUGGACAGGACUUACCCACUGACUAUCAGCAACAGGAUAAAUUAUACCUGCCUCCAGAAGCUUGAGUAUUUCUUUUCUUACCACUUCUUCCAUUUUCGGAUUCAAACGUCGUUGAGGAUCACAAACUGGUUUGGCAUCCGCUUCCAAAUUUAUUUUAUGUUGACAUAGCGUGGGACUAAUGCCCUUAAGAUCAUCAAGAGUAUAUCCAAUAGCGGCACGGUGCUUCUUCAGAGUUUUCAAUAAUCUUUCUUCUUCAUGCUCUGAAAGGUUAGCACUAAUAAUAACAUGAUAUAUUUUCUUUUCAUCAAGAUAAGCAUAUUUAAGAUUAUCAGGCAAUGGUUUAAGCUCAAACACGGGAUCACCCUUGGGCGGAGGAGGAUCCCCUAGGAUUUCAACAGGCAAAUUAUGUUGCAGGAUAGGUUCCUGUUUAAAGAACACUUCAUCUAUUUCCCUUCUUUCAUUCAUGAACAUAUCAUUUUCAUGGUCUAGCAAAUAUUGUUCUAAAGGAUCACUAGGAGGUACAGCAAUAGAAGCAAGACCAAUAAUUUCAUCCUUACUAGGCGAUUCUUCCUCACGAUGUUGUUUACUUAAUUUAGAGAAAUUAAACUUAUGAACCAUAUCAUCCAAGCCAAUAGUAACAACAUUCUUUUCGCAGUCUAUCUUAGAAUUAACAGUACUCAAGAAGGGUCUACCAAAUAUAAUGGGAAAAAGCUAUCUUGUGGAGAACCAAGAACAAGAAAAUCAGCGGGAUAUUUGGUUUUUCCACACAAGACUUCAACAUCUCUAACAAUUCCCAUUGUAGAUAUAGUAUCUCUAUUGGCAAGUUUAAUUGUAACAUCAAUAUCUUCUAACUCAGCAGGUGCAAUAUCAUGCAUAAUUUCUUAAUAUAAGUCAAUGGGUAUCACACUAGCACUAGCACCCAUAUCACAUAAGCCAUGAUAACAAUGAUCUUCUAUUUUAACAGAAAUAACAGGCACUCCUACCACAGGUCUAUGUUUAUCUCUAUCACAAGGUUUAGCAAUUCUAGUAGUUUCACCAUGGAAUUGAACAACAUGCCCAUCGAUAUUAUCAGACAAGAGAUCUUUAACAAUAGCAAUCUUGGGUUCUACUUUGACUUUCUUAGGAGGUGUAUAAGUUCUAAUAUUGCUUUUACGAACAACAAUUGAAGCUUUAGCAUGAUCCUUCAUUCUAACCGGGAAAGGCGGUUUCUCAACAUAAGAAGUGGGAACAAUAGGAUCAUUAUAAGUGACAGUCUUUUCUUCAACUUUAAUAGGUGCAGCUACUUUUACUUCUAUGGGAGGAUGAUAUUUAAACCACUUCUCCUUGGGGAGAUCAACAUAAGUAGCAAAAGAUUCACAGAAAGAAGCUACUAUCUCAGAGUCAAGUCCAUAUUUAGUGCUAAACUUACGGAAAAUAUCGGUAUCCAUAAAAGAUUUAACACAAUCAAACUUAGGUGUCAUACCUGACUCCUUACCUUCGUCGAGGUCCCAAUCUUCAGAGUUGCAUUUAAUUCUAUCCAAUAAAUUCCAUUUAAAUUCAAUAGUCUUCAUCAUAAAAGAGCCAGCACAAGAAGUAUCGAGCAUGGUGCGAUUGUUAUCAGAAAGCCGAGCAUAAAAACUUCAAGAGCUCAUGAUUGGGGCAUGAAUAUAACAUUGAUUUAAGCAUCCCCCAAGCUUGAGCAAUGCUUUCUCCUUUGCGAGGCCAAAAAUUAUAUAUAUAAUUGCGAUCACGAUGAACAAGAUGCAUAGGGUAAUACUUUUGAUGAAAUUCCAAUUUCAAUCUUUUAUAGUUCCAUGAUCUCAUAUCAUCACAUAGCUUGUACCAUGUCAAUGCGUCUCCCUUCAAAGAUAAAGGGAAGGCCUUCUUCUUAACAACAUCAUCAGGUAUACCUGCAAGCUUAAAUAGUCCACAAACGUCAUCCACAUAGCGUAGAUGUUCAUCAGGAUGCCUUGUUCCAUCUCGUGUAAAAGUGUUAGCUAGCAGUUUUUCCAUUAUACCCGAAGGAAUCUCAAAAGGAGUUUCAUUUUCAAUAGGUUUAGUAGGUUGAGUAGGUUGAGGAUCAACUCUUUGCUCUACUGGACGGGGUGAAGAUACCCCGAACAAGCCCCUCAGAGAAUUACUUUCCAUAGUAACAAGUGACAAAAUUUCAGCACACUAAAUAGAUUUUUCCUUACCAAAUUCCACCUACCAAAGGCGCUUCACUCCCCGGCAACGGCGCCAGAAAAGAGUCUUGAUGACCCACAAGUAUAGGGGAUCUAUCGUAGUCCUUUCGAUAAGUAAGAGUGUCGAACCCAACAAGGAGCAGAAGGAAAUGAUAAGCGGUUUUCAGCAAGGUGUUCUCUGCAAGUACUGAAAUAAGUGAUAACAGAUAGUUUUGUGAUAAGAUAAAUUGUAACGAGAAACAAUUAAAAAAAGUAAAUAAAGUGCAGCAAGGUGGCCCAAUCCUUUUUGUAGCAAAGGACAAGCCUGGACAAACUCUUAUAAUAGGAAAAGCGCUCCCGAGGACACAUGGGAAUAUUGUCAAGCUAGUUUUCAUCACGCUCAUAUGAUUUGCGUUCGGUACUUUGAUAAUUUGAUAUGUGGGUGGACCGGUGCUUGGGUACUGUUCUUACUUGAACAAGCAUCCCACUUAUGAUUAACCUCUACUGCAAGCAUCCGCAACUACAACAAAAGUAUUAAGGUAAACCUAACCAUAGCAUGAAACAUAUGGAUCCAAAUCAGCCCCUUACGAAGCAACGCAUAAACUAGGGUUUAAGCUUCUGUCACUCUAGCAACCCAUCAUCUACUUAUUACUUCCCAAUGCCUUCCUCUAGGCCCAAAUAAUGGUGAAGUGUUAUGUAGUCGACGUUCACAUAAUACCACUAGAGGCUAGACAACAUACAUCUUAUCAAAAUAUCAAACGAAUACCAAAUCCACAUGACUACUAAUAGCAAGACUUCUCCCUUGUCCUCAGGAACAAACAUAACUACUCACAAAGCAUAUUCAUGCUCAUAAUCAGAGGGGUAAUAAUAUGCAUAAAGGAUCUGAACAUAUGAUCUUCCACCAAAUAAACCAACUAGCAUCAACUACAAGGAGUAAUCAACACUACUAGCAACCUACUAGCACCAAUCCCGGACUUGGAGACAAGAGAUGAACUAGGAUUUGGAGAUGAGAUGGUGCUGGUGAAGAUGUUGAUGGAGAUUGCCCUCUCCUGAUGAGAGGAGCGUUGGCGAUGAUGAUGGUGAUGAUUUCCCCCUCCUGGUGGGAAGUGUCCCCGGCAGAACAGCUCUGCUGGAGCCCUAGAUUGGUUCCACCAAGGUUCCGCCUCGUGGCGGCGGAGUCUCGUCCCGAAAGGUUGCUUCCCUUUUUUUCUCAUCAAAAGACUUCAUAUAGGAGAAGAUGGGCAUCGGAGAGCCACCAGGGGGCCCACGAGGUAGGGGGACGCGCCCCAGGGGGGCGCCCCCCACCCUCGUGAGCAGGGUGUGGGCCCCCUGGCCUUCAUCUUUGGUGACGAUUUUUCUUUAUUUAUUUUAAGAUAUUCCGUGGAGUUUCAGGAAUUUUGGAGUUACGCAGAAUAGGCCUCCAAUAUUUGCUCCUUUUCCAGUCCAGAAUUCCAACUGCCGGCAUUCUCCCUCUUCAUGUAAACCUUGUAAAAUAAGAGAGAAUAGCCAUAAAUAUUGUGACAUAACGUGAACUAACAGCCCAUAAUGCAAUAAAUAUUGAUAUAAAAGCAUGAUGCAAAAUGGACGUAUCAGGCAGCAGCCGAAGGGUGCAGCGUUCGUAUUCAGUAUCCACUACAGCAAAAACUUUCCAGCUCCCGAGUGACCUUUCAUAUACCCAUAGUGCGUGGCAAAAAUUUAGACAUCGGCUCGGCUCAUUCCCGCAAUCCGCGUCAUGGCGUGGCAUGGCACGGCGGGUGGUGGAGGAGGAGCGCGCAUGGAUGUCCCUCUUGUUCUCAUGCUCAUACAAGUGGGGAAAGAACCUCCCUUAUAAGGAGGUCCAACUCCCACUAAACUAGCAAUGUGGGACUAAACUUUAGUAGUAUCCCUUGCCUUGCACGAAUGGGCUAAGUGGGCCUCUAGGAUUUAUUAGGAAAUUCUGAAAUAGUUAUUGGGUUGUCCCAAAAUAGACUAAAUUCCAGCAGCUAUGACAUUCCGUUCGGGUUUAUCUCUAGCCCAAACUGUAGGAUGUAACAAGUUGUUGAUCAACUCAAACAACUUAGAAGUUGUGGAAACUAUGAAGAAUGGUGGCAUGUUAGAUUGUAUAGCUUAUGUAUUCAUAUAUGUAUAUUGUACAUUGUAUCCCCACUCAUUAUAUAUAUGUGAUAGGCCACCCCUAGAGGGUCGUGCCGGUUCCCCCCAAACCUAUUGUCUCACAUGGUAUCAGACUAGGUCAAAUCGCUUCCGCCCAAAACCCUACGUAGCCGACACCGCCGCCCCCUGAUCGCGCCGCCACCACCAUGUCGUGCGCCGCCGCCUCUAGCUCCUCCACCGCUAGCUAUCUGUCAGCCUCGCUCGCGGCUCUCCUCUCUCGCCCGCUCGACUCCGCCAUGACGCAGUCGUUCCAGAUCAAGACGAGGAGCGUCGGCUCCUUCUUCUCCAACCAGCCCCCGGCAUCUUCAUCCCUAGGUCAUGCGCUGACGAUCCACACGUCGGGCAUCUCAUCGCCCGCCUCGAUCGGCACCAUUGUCCCAGAGGAGGAACCCGCGCCGGCCUGGAUGGUCGGCCUAUCUUCAUCAGGCCCGGCGCCUUCUGCUCCUAUGGCGUCUGCGCCCUUAGCCGCGUCUAUGCUGGCCCGGUCUUCCCCUAUGGCGCAUGUGCCUCUAGCAGCCUUCAACACGGGCUCUCUGCCGCUGUCGCCAUUUCACUUCGGUAAUCUCAUCAGCAUCAAGUUGUCAUCCGACAACUACAUCUUCUGGUGUGCGCAGGUUCUUCUGCUCCUUGGGAGCCAUUACCUGCUUGGCUACGUCGACGGCUCUCGCUCUCCCUCGCCCCCCCCCCCCCACGCUGCUGGAUAGCGUGCACGGCCUUGUCUAUAAUUCGGCGCACCGUGUCUGGACAGGGCAGGAUCAGGCGAACCUCUCCUCUAUCCAGGGGUUGCUCACCCCGGCUGUUGCCGGGCUUGUCGUCUUUGCCAAGACAUCUCACGAGCCCUAGACUAUCCUCGAGCACUCGUUUGCGGCGCAUCACAGGCUCAUGUCAGCACCCUUCGUCGUCAGCUUGGUGAGUGUGAGAAGUUCGACUCCUCGGCCAUGGAGUUCUACAACAAGGUCAAGGCUCUUGCUGACACAUUGGCAUCCAUUGGACAGCCACUCACCGACUCUGAGUUCAACUCCUUCAUCAUCAAUGGCCUCAACAAGGACUAUGAUGCUUUGGUCGAGAUCAUCAAUGAGCCAGGCACCUCGACUCCCAUAACGGUGCACGAGGUCUAUUCUCGUCUUCUCCUCACCGAGCAGCAUGUCGAGGUGCGCCGUUCCAAGAGCAAUCUCGGAGCUCUCUCUGCCAACGCUGCCACUAAGGGUGGCCGCACCUCCUCUGGUGCCUCCUCCAAGGCGCCCCCUGCAUCGCCCUUGCCCUCAGCCCCUCCUCCAUCAGCAACCUUACCGGGAGGGGGGGUCAGCGUAUGUGUCAGGUCUGUGGUCUCGAGGGACAUUGGGCCUCCAAGUGUCAUCGUCGUUUCCAGCGGAGUUUUCUCAGCCUUGGCAAUGAUGGCAAGGAUACAUGCAAUACCGCACGUCAGGUCGACAUGGCUGAUCGCCCGACGCCACAGAAGCAACAUGGACAUACUCAGUCAUACUCCAUCGACCCACACUGGUACAUGGAUUCUGUGGCAACGGAGCACCUGAUGAGCGAGAUGGGGAAGCUUCACACUCGUGAAGACUACCAUGGCUCCGACAAGAUCCACAACACUUCCAAUGGAGCAGGUAUGCACAUUUCUCAUAUUGGUCAAGCAUCUCUUCUCACUAGUCAUGCAAAUAGGAGUCUUCAGCUUCGCAAUAUUCUUAGAGUACCAUCUAUGACGAAUCUCCUUUCAGUUCCUAAACUCACUCGUGACAAUAAUGUGUUUUGUGAAUUUCACCCAUUUGAUUUUUUUAUUAAGGAUCGGGGCACGAGGGACACACUUCUUAGAGGAUGUCUGUGCCAGGGCCUCUAUCGUUUGGAGCAUCCUGGCGUCUCUCAUGUUUUCAGUGGAGUUUUGAGUAUCUUCAUCACAGUGGCAUGCUCAUCUUGGUCAUCCAACCACACCUAUUGUUCGUCAUGUUUUGCGUCGUCAUGAGCUUCCUAGCAUGUCUAAUAAUAAAGAUGUAGCAGUGUGUGAUGCUUGUCAGCAGGGGAAGAGUCAUCAACUUCCUUUUUUGGAGUCUAGUCGUGAGGUGAAACAUCCUCUAGAACUUGUUUUUUCAGAUGUAUGGGGUCCUGCUCAGACUUCUGUUAGUGGUCAUAACUAUUAUACCAGUUUCGUUGAUGCUUAUAGUCGCUUUACCUGGCUUUAUCUUAUUAAGCAUAAGUCUGAUGUGUUCGAUAUCUUUGUCCAGUUUCAAAAACAUGUUGAACGCCUUCUCAAGCAUAAGAUUGUUCAUGUUAAGUCGGACUGGGGGGGGGGGAGUAUCGCAACCUCAACUCCUUCUUCCAGUCGCUUGGGAUCGCUCACCAUUUAGCAUGUCCACAUACACAUCAACAGAAUGGUUCUGUGGAACGUAAGCAUCAUCAUAUCGUUGAAACUGGUCUUACUCUUUUGGCCCAUGCAUCGGUUCCCUUUCGGUUUUGGAGUGAUGCCUUCACCACUGCUUGUUUUCUUAUCAACUGUACUCCCACUCAUGUUUUAAACGUGAAGACUCCCAUUGAACUUCUCCUUAAUGAACAACCUGAUUACACUUUUUUCAAAGUGUUUGGGUGUGCUUGCUAGCCGCAUCUACGCCCAUACAACAAACGCAAGCUGGAGUUUCGAUCCAAAAAGUGUGCCUUUCUUGGCUAUAGCUCCCUUCAUAAAGGAUAUAAAUGUCUCCAUGUUCCCACUAAUCGAGUCUACAUAUCUAGGUAUGUCAUGUUUGAUGAGCAUGUUUUCCAUUUGCCAAACUUAAUGUGUCCACCACUGAACCACCAUCUACGCAUUCAUCCUCCAUUGCUUCUGACCAGUUUGAUGAUGUUGCAUACUCUCCUGUAUUAUUACCUAACCAUGGUACAGGCACUGGAUGUGGGGCUCAUUUGGAACUUUUAGAGGCACCAUCGCCUCUCUCUUCGACGUCGCCUAAUGAUCAUGCCAAUCAUGUUGUGCCCCUACAUGGCCUCGGUCCACAUGACCAUGCAUGUCGGGCCGAUGCCCCUGUGACGCCGCUUGCUCCGUCGCCCGCGACAUCUGGGCCGGCCUCACCUCACGUUCGGCCUUCCACGCCCACUGAGCCUGGGACGUUUUCGCCUGGGCUGGUUUUCUCUCCAAGCAGUCCAACGACGCCUUGCUUCGAGUCGCCCGUCUCCGACUUGCCCAGUCCCUUGCCAACUGGGCCUUCUUCAUCGUCGUCGCCCAGUCCCUUGCUGACUGGGUCAUCGCCACUGCCAUCACCCAGUCCCUCACCAACUGGGGCAUCUCCAUCACUGUCGUUGUCGUCGUCCAGCUCUUUGUCGGCUGCACCCUCGACCUCAGUGGCACCUGCUGCUCCUUUACGUCCACAUACACGCAGUCACAGUGGCGUGUUUCAACCAAAGCAGUGUCAUGAUGGUACAGUUGCUUGGCUUGCUGCAUGCAUGACUGCUACACUUGCGGAUCCAUCCUCUGAACCGCAUAGAUAUCAAGCUGCUAUGAGCAUUGCUCAUUGGAGAGAGGCCAUGGAGCAGGAGUAUCACGCUCUUCUUCGUAAUAAGAUGUGGACUCUUGUCCCUCCACCACCACGAGUUAACGUCAUUGAUUCUAAAUGGGUAUUCAAAGUGAAGAAGCAUUCUGAUGAGUUUAUUGAGCGCUACAAAGCACGUCUGGUUGCCAAAGGAUUUCAACAACGCUAUGGUCUUGACUACGAAGACACCUUCAGUCCAGUGGUCGAGCCUACCACCAUCAGGCUUCUUCUCUCCCUUGCAGUUACUCGAGGUUGGUUUCUUCGUCAGCUUGACGUGUAGAAUACUUUUCUUCAUGGCGUAUUGGAGGAGGAGGUUUACAUGCGACAGCCGCCUGGUUUUUCUGAUCCUGAUCGUCCUGGUCAUCUCUGUCGUUUCACCAAAGCACUCUAUGGUAUGAAGCAAGCACCGCGUGCUUGGCAUGCUCGUCUUGCAACGGCCCUUCGUGCUCAUGGUUUUGCAUCAUCGACUGCUAACUCAUCGCUAUUUCUUCUAUAGAAGCCUGAGGUCACUAUGUACUUGUUGGUCUAUGUGGAUGAUAUUAUUCUUGUCAGCUCCUCUUAGUCGGCUGCUACUUCUCUUGUUCGAUCCCUUGGUGCUGAUUUUGCUGUCAAAGAUCUUGGGAAGCUUCACUACUUUCUUGGUGUGGAGGUUUAUUCUUUGGCUAAUGGACUUGUUAUGACGUAGAAGAAGUACUCUUUGGAUCUAUUGCAGCGGGCUGGGAUGCUUAAGUGCAAACCGACAACUACACCUAUGUCUACCACUGACAAGAUCAUUGCUUUCAACGAUGAGCUUCUAUUCUCUGCUGUUGCGAUGGAGUAUAGGAGUAUUGUCGGUGGUCUUCAGUACUUGACGAUCACGAGACCAGAUAUUUCUUUUGUUGUCAACAGAGUGUGUCAGUAUCUGUAGGCGCCUCGUGACACUCAUUGGUCCGUUGUUAAGCGCAUAUUGCGCUACAUCCGAUUCACCAUAUCUUAUGGACUGCAUAUACGACUGAACCCCUCUGGGGUCCUCUCGGCGUACCCUGAUGNNNNNNNNNNNNNNNNNNNNNNNNNNNNNNNNNNNNNNNNNNNNNNNNNNNNNNNNNNNNNNNNNNNNNNNNNNNNNNNNNNNNNNNNNNNNNNNNNNNNNNNNNNNNNNNNNNNNNNNNNNNNNNNNNNNNNNNNNNNNNNNNNNNNNNNNNNNNNNNNNNNNNNNNNNNNNNNNNNNNNNNNNNNNNNNNNNNNNNNNNNNNNNNNNNNNNNNNNNNNNNNNNNNNNNNNNNNNNNNNNNNNNNNNNNNNNNNNNNNNNNNNNNNNNNNNNNNNNNNNNNNNNNNNNNNNNNNNNNNNNNNNNNNNNNNNNNNNNNNNNNNNNNNNNNNNNNNNNNNNNNNNNNNNNNNNNNNNNNNNNNNNNNNNNNNNNNNNNNNNNNNNNNNNNNNNNNNNNNNNNNNNNNNNNNNNNNNNNNNNNNNNNNNNNNNNNNNNNNNNNNNNNNNNNNNNNNNNNNNNNNNNNNNNNNNNNNNNNNNNNNNNNNNNNNNNNNNNNNNNNNNNNNNNNNNNNNNNNNNNNNNNNNNNNNNNNNNNNNNNNNNNNNNNNNNNNNNNNNNNNNNNNNNNNNNNNNNNNNNNNNNNNNNNNNNNNNNNNNNNNNNNNNNNNNNNNNNNNNNNNNNNNNNNNNNNNNNNNNNNNNNNNNNNNNNNNNNNNNNNNNNNNNNNNNNNNNNNNNNNNNNGAUAGGCCACCUCUAGAUGGUUGUGCCGGUUCCCCCCAAACCUAUUGUCUCACAUGGCCGAUCAAUGGGGAAAGUGGUAGCGAUUUUUUAUGACUGCUACCAUCUUGCUCUUUCCUCCUACUAUUUUUGAUCAUUGUAGUAGAGUAGCUAAUGACGUGGCACAUGAGUUAGCUAGGAUGGCCAUGAGAGUUCCUUAUCCCCAAUUCCAAACACGUUGAUCAGCCCAAGCCCAAAACGGCAUUGGUAUGAUCGUGAGUUAAUUCAUCGAUGCGUACAUACUUCCCGUUCCAUGUUGUUUUACUCAACAACUCCACUCCAACCCUUGCCACUUCGUUAAGCUUUUUCCAUCGAGCCUCCUAUGACCGGUGGUGACGCAUGCUACAACCAGAUGAUCUGCUGCCCCUAUUGCCAGACGUCUCCAUGGCUGAUCUCUCCGAUCCCGAGUCUUAUAGCAUGGCUCAUCCAUGCAGGAUAAUCUUCUCGCCCUACGCCACUGAUUGGCACCUUCAGAAUGUCCUCGAUAUCACAUGGAAGCAUUGUUUUUUCAAGGUAGGCACGUCCCAUUCUCUUCCUAGCAAAUCGACCACACCUUGGAAACGUUGGUGCGGUCCAGCGUUCCCGGUGGUUUCGUUGAUCUAGCUCUCGGGAUCCAGCCAUCUGCCCACACAUCAACAGUAGACCCGUCCCCUAUGCACCAAACAAGGCCGAUCUUCAACAGUUCUCGCCUAAACAUGAUGCUCCGCCAAGUGUAUGAUGUGUUCUUUGGGCAUGUGGCGUCCAAAAAUCCCAUCUCUCAAAAAUACCGUAGAUAGAAUUCACCAACCUGUUUGGAGAGCAAAAUGCUUGGCUGAAAAUUUCGAAGUCUCGAAACCCCAUGCCUCCCAUUCUCUUGCUCAUGCAUAUUUUGUCCCAACCAAUCCAGUGAACCUUGCGUUUCCUAUUCUCCGCUCCCCACCAAUUUUUUGAUGAAGUAUAUGUCAACUUCCGGCAUGUUAUUUUUUGGUGAAUUUGAAAUAGCUCAUGGAGAACGUAGGAGUCGCUUGAAGCACUGAUUUGAUCAACACCUCCCUUCCAGCUUUCGUUCGCCCUUGCAUUUGAUGAGAUUAUUGACUAGUUAGAUACGCCUCGUGGUUGUAGCAAAUGUGAAUAUAAUUUUCUUUUCAUUCGCGACACAUAUAUUUCCAUAAUGUUGAUAUUGAUACUAUAUUUUAAACAUGAUAAUAUUUUAUUUAUAUUUGUUGGAGUACGAUCAACAUUGUCCUCCCCCCUCCCCCUAUCAAAUCGUUGUGCCCUUGCACUUGCUAAUAAAGGGAGAGGAAAGUUAUAUAAAAAGGUAUGGAUUUAAAUAGUAAUAUAUAUAGAGAAAAGAAAGAAGGUUUGUUUCUCCAAAUUUUUUGUGUGUAUCAACCUUUUUUGUACGUCGUCCGCUUCCUCAAAAUUCCCUAUUUGAUGCAUACGGCGUCAAAUAGUCAGGGAACACAAUGAGUCAGUCCACGCAGAGGCGUUAUGUUCCCAGUUACUGGUUGGUUUUUUUACUGGUUUUGGUUUUGUUUUCUUCCUUUUUGUUUUUCCAUAAUUUCAAAAAUCGUUCAUGUUUUAAAAAAAUUGAAUUUCCGAAAUUUUGUUUGUGUUAUAAAAGAAAUGUUUGGAAUUUGAUUUUUUUUCAUGCUUUAAUAAAAUGUUCGGAAUUCAAUUUUGUUUCAUGUUUUUCAAAACAUGAUUGAAAUUUUGAAUUUUUUUUAAAAAUUCAAUAAAUGUUAAAAUAUUUGAAAAAAUGAUGUGAACUACAGAAUUUUGUUCAUGCAUUCAGAAAUUCUGCAAAAUUUUCAACAUUUGUUUGAAAUUUCGGGAAAAACAGAAUUUUAAAUAAAUGCGCGCGAAAUCAAAAAAUGUUCGUAAUUUGCAUUUGUUGUUCAGAUUUUUUAAAAAUGUUGGAAAUUUAAAAAUUGUUCAAAAUUUCUAAAAAUAAUGUUCACUCUUUUUUGAAUUUUCCUUGACAACUUCUGAAUCGCGAACUACAUUUAGGUGCUACAGUAUUUUUACGAGCAGCAGUGGACAGAUGCAGCGUGGCAUUAGUUGGCUUGCCUGCCAAUGGGCCAUCCCAGUUCGCUGCCCGCCCGUGCGUGCUGGUGCUAUACGAUACAGAAUGUGUCAUAUAGGACGACCCCGCCUCCUCGGGAUUCCUAUUCGGUGCGAGGGUGCUGUCGAGCACCCACGCUUCAUGCGCUGGUAGUCGGAUGGGCCAACCCAUUUCACGAUUUUUUCUUUUGGUUUUUCCUUAGUUUCGUUCUUUUGUUUUUUUUGUUUUCUUUUUUCAUUUUCUCUUUCCUUUCUUAUUUUUUUCUGUUUUCUUUUUAUUUUAUUUUCCUUCUUUACUUUUUCACUUUUAAUACGAAUUUUCUUUCCAAAUUUGUAAACAUUUUUUUGUUCAUCGAAUUCAAAAAAUAUUUAUCAAUGUAAAAAAUGUUUAUCAAUUCAAAAACUGUUUACUGAAUUCGUUUUUUUCAUUGGUAUUGAAAAAAUGUUCACUAAACUUCAAUUUUUGUGCAGAAAAAUAAAAAAUGUUCAUCAAAUUUGAAAUUUGUUCAUCCAUUAUUUUCAACAAAAUUCAUCGAAUACAAAGUUUGUUCAUCAAGUUAAAAAAUGUCCAUGAAAAUUGUUCAUCAAAAUAAAAAAAAUGUUCAUAAAAUUUUGAAAAUUGUUCAUUAUUUUGAAAUCCCAAACUUUUUUGAAUUCUAGAACUUUUUUCGAAAUCGGUAAAAAAAUUGAAUCCGUGAACGUUUUUGAAAGUCAGAAUUAUUUCCGAAAUCUCAAAGAAAAAAUAGGAGGGAACCUUGCGCCCCACAUGGGCCGGCUCGGGAGGGCGUACAGCAAGCUCCCGGCCUCCACUUACCAAAGUUGUUCUUCAACACGAAGGAGAAGACAAAAAAUCCAACCCGAUAGCCCCCGUAAUCGCCCGUCUUCCACACGAAGCAGUUGUCCAUCUUUGUGUCCGUCUCCAANNNNNNNNNNNNNNNNNNNNNNNNNNNNNNNNNNNNNNNNNNNNNNNNNNNNNNNNNNNNNNNNNNNNNNNNNNNNNNNNNNNNNNNNNNNNNNNNNNNNNNNNNNNNNNNNNNNNNNNNNNNNNNNNNNNNNNNNNNNNNNNNNNNNNNNNNNNNNNNNNNNNNNNNNNNNNNNNNNNNNNNNNNNNNNNNNNNNNNNNNNNNNNNNNNNNNNNNNNNNNNNNNNNNNNNNNNNNNNNNNNNNNNNNNNNNNNNNNNNNNNNNNNNNNNNNNNNNNNNNNNNNNNNNNNNNNNNNNNNNNNNNNNNNNNNNNNNNNGUUGCUUUAGAAUGGCCAAUUGAUAUGCUUGGAAUCAUAUAAAAAAUUUACAUUGGUAUGCUUGGAAUUUGUGCUCUAUGUAUGAUUUUACUUGGUGCUCUAGAAUGAGGUUUAACAAUCUUGCCUUUCAAUAUGAGUUUAAUGAUAAUAAAACCUUGGAUUCUUACGCUAAUGUUGUAUAUGAUUACUAUGACUUGAAACAAAUAGAAGAACUUGCAUUGUUGCUUUUAAGGGUGCUUAUGAAAUUGUUUCUUUGCUUGAAAAUAUGAUGAUGCACUUUACAAAUCUGAAGAUCUUGCCAUACUUAAAUAUUACUAUGCAAACUAUGGAUACAAUGCUCAUAUUAAUUAUUUUAUUGAGAGAAUGUCUGCUGCCCUGGAAGAUAUUAAUAUUUUGCUGGAAUAUAUAGAAGAAGAAAUUGUUGAAACCGUGAGCUCAUUAGAUGAAAAAGAUGAAGAGGGGAGUGAAGGACAUAAGGAGGAAGAGCGGAUUGAUCACCCGUGCCCACCUUCUAACGAGAGUAACUCUUUAACUCAUACAUUAUUUAAUUUUCCUUCAUACUUACCGUGGAUGAGUGCUAUGAUCCAUUGGAUUAGUUUGAAAUAUCCCUUUUUUGAUGAAGUCGAUGCUUGCUAUGCUUAUGGCUAUGAUGACACUAUGAAUUAUGCUUAGGUUAAUGACCUUAUUGAUUCGGUUACGAGGUAGUGGGAUGGGGAGUUGGUAACUCUAACUUUUUGAUAAAUAGAUGUUUAGCGUGUUUUGUCUAUUCCUUUGCCUGGUCAUGACAUGGAUGCUUUUGUGGGAUGGAUUGUUCUAAGUCCGUUCAGCAUAUCAUGUGAAUUGGGGUCACCAACGUGGCUAGAAAUUGAGGAGUACAAAGGGAAUUGAGUCUAUGUGUCUGAAUGGAGUUUGGGAGAAAAUCUGGAAACUACAAUUCCCAACUAAGGUGAUUUUUUUAUGUAAAACCUUAAGGAGGACGCUUGCCUACCGACUCAAUCUUCCAAAUUGACACACUAUGGUUUCUAGACAAUGCCCAUGUGCAACACAUGUGCAAAGGAUGUAACACACCUACUAUUUAAAUGCAACAAAGCAGCCGAGCUAUGGCAUCUUUUAUGUUUGGAUGAGAUUAUAUAUCAAGAGGGCGUGCAGCGUCGAUAUGGCGGGUGAAAUUGUAAUGGUUUUUCUGAUUCAGACUCCGAUACAAGAGCUUGGUCUUCUCGGCCAAAAUAAUAUACAUGAAAUAAUAGCCAUCGCCUAUUGAUAUUUUUGAUGGGAAAGAAGGAAAAGUGUCCAUGCCGAGAAAAUAAAGAAUUCUAAUAAAAUAGUAUCAUACAUCAAAGCUUUAACAACGAAUUUGUCACCUCAUUAGCUCCAAAGGCAAUGAUAAAGAAAGAUAGAUUGCUUAAGCCACCGGCUAGUUUUGUCAAAAGUUAAUGUGCAUGCAGCUUUCGAUCAAGACCACAUAAAAGGUGCAUCUAUCUGGACCUGUGUCCUUCGUGAUUCAUUUGGUAAUUUACUAAUUGCUGCUAACUGAAAGAUCGACAUGUAUAUAGAUGUACUAUCUACUGAAGCUAUGGCAUUGGGUUGGGGUUUAUUUGUGGCCAAAAGUGGGAUGCAACAAGUUGUUGAUCAACUCAGACAACUUAAAAGUCGUGGAAACUAUGAAGAAUGAAGGUUGAUCAAUGGGGAUAGCAACAGUGAUUUUCGAUGACUACUACAAUCUUGCUUGCAAGUUUCCCCAUAUAUUUUUUAUAAUGGCGCAUGAGCUAGUUAGGAUGCCCAUGAGAGCUCCUUCUUGCGUGUGGAUGGAUGAUGCCCCAUCGAAGUUUCUUCCUCGUUGAACGAUAUAACCAUUGCCACUUGCUAAUAAAAGGGAGAGGAAACUAUAUAACAAUGGUAUAGAUAUAAAUUGUAGUACAGAUAUGACAGAAGGUUUGUUUCUCCAAUUUGUUUGUGUGUAUAAUGUUUUUUUUUACCUCGUCCGCCUCCUAGGAAUUCACUAUUUGAUGCAUUUUGCGUCAAAUAGUCGGGUCAUCGCAUAGGAGGUUCGUGACAGCGAGCGCAAUGGGCAAGUCCCUAAUUUAUAGCGGUACGCAGAGGCGUUUUGUUUCGGUUUUAGGAACAUUCUAGAUGGUCCCAGUUCUUGACUGUUUUUUUAUUAAUUUCUUGUUCUAUUUACUCGUUUUUCCGGUUUCCUUUUUUGGGUUUUCAUUUUUACGUUUUCAUUUUUUAUGUUUCUUUUUCUUCCUUUUUGUUGUUUCAUAAAUUCAAAAGUUGUUUGCGUAUUGAAAACAAUUCAAAAUUUGAUUUUUUUUCAUGUUUUAACAAUGUUCAUAAUUCAAAUAUUUGUUCAUGUUUUUCAAAAGUGUUCACCAAUUCGAAACAUGUUCAAAUAUUUCAAUAAAUAUUCAAUUCUUUUUAAAAGAUCAGCAUUUAUAAUUUUUGUUCAUGGUUUUAGAAAUUCCGCAUGUUUGUCAAAAUUUGUUUGGAAUUUUGAAAAUUCUUCAUACUUUUUAAUAAAUGUUAUAAAAUUCACAAAAUGUUUGUUUUUUGUUCAGGUUUUCUAAAAAAUGUUCGAAAUUCCAAAAAUGGUUCAAAUGUUUCAAAAAAAUAAGGUUCCCUAUUUUUUCAAAUUUGUUUGUCAAAAUUUGUUUUGGAAUCACAAGCUACCAUAUUUCUUUGAGAAGGCGCACAAGCUACAGUAAGGCGCUGCAGUAUUUUGACGAUGGUUAGUUGGCUGGCCGCCUGUGCGUCCUGGUGCGAUACGAUGCGGAGUGCGUCAUAUAGGACGUCGCCGCCUCCUCUUCUGACCGUUGUUGUUCAACACAGGAAAGGAAAACCCAGCCCAGUAGCCCACGCAAUCGUCCGUCUCCCACAGGAAGCAGUCGUCCGUCUCCUCCGUCUCCAACACAAUCCGCCGCCGCCGUCUCCUCCCAUCCCGUCGCUUCCGCCGUCUGCCGAUUGAUGAGUGUUUCCCGUUUCUUUGUCCGCCGUCCCUCCCCGCACUCACGCACGCGUACACCCAUCUUCCUUGCUCGCCUGGUUCCGUGCUUCGUGUUCGAUUCAGAGCGGAGCAGGGGAUCCAUUGAUGUAAGGUUCGGCUUCCGAUCCAUCCAGGCCGCCGGCCAGUCCACCGAGGGGAGAUUCCAAGCUGUCCACGCGAAACCCUAGACGCCGCAGGGAUGGAGCAUCGCCGCCGCCUCGCCCAGUUCUUGCUCGCCUCAGCUCGCGGGGAUGGAGCAGGAGGGCGCCGCCGCACCAGGCCCAGGACGACGGCGCCGUGGACGGCUGGGCGCGGGACGACACGAAGCCCCCCACUCCGCCCCGGCAAUCCCCCGAGGCUACGUCUCCGCCGCCGCCUCCGUGCAGCCGCUCGUGCCGACCCUCAACUACGAUUGUGAGUGCUCUUCAACCCUCUGUCUGGUAUCCAUGGAUUGUAUUGUCAUUUGUUUCUGAUUGAGCGUCCAUCGAUGGUGGCAGCAGUGGGGAGGAGGCCUGCCGCGACCUCGACGCUACUCCCGCGACCACAACCACUGCGUCCGCUAGAAAGGUACUAGACCAACUGCACAUUCCCCCUCAGGAAUCAGAAACAACCAUACAUGCUGCCAUGAACAACCCAUACAUUACAUUGCGUUGUUAGGACCAGCGAAUUCAUAUGGUAGGAACAGGUGGAUGCAGUGAAGUGACUAGAGAAUUUCAGAAUCCAGACUGUUGCUGCUAUAGAUCUACUCUGCUCCGCCAUUCGGUAACUAAAUGGCAAUGCAGCAGUUGUGUGGUUCACGGUUUAUGCAGCAGCUACCCGUUCUUCUACCGAUCUGUUGCUCGGUGAUCAAUUGUGUGUGGUUGUUUAAUUUACUGCUCAGUAGCAUGCACACCUGAAUGCGCUGGGAUGACCGAAAAAGUCACAUGUUCAGUCAGUUAUCCCCUGCCAGCUAUGCUUUCCAGCGUUUUCCUUAUAAUUUCCACAUGUUAUGUGCAGGCGCAUGAAUUGGGGAUAUGUACUUCGGUUUGGGUUUAAAGGGGCAAUCUUUGAGCAUUUGUAUCAACUAUUGAGGAUCUCAAGUUGACAUGGAUCGCCCUAUGAUCAAGUGCAUUAUGGUGCUAUGAUGAUUGUGACAGAAGAUGUUAGCUGCAGAAGCAAUCGCUAUGUAAGUGUGACGUCUCUUUUGAUCCUGCUUUGUUUAUUUUUCAAAUCAUUAAUAUUUCCAUUGCUUUCCUUCUUGCAUAAUUGCUCUAAUCUCUGGAAAUUUUGUGCUGAUAAAAAUUGCUAGUAUAUGCAGCUGUGGUCAUGAAAUUGUAUUGAGCAGAAUAUGAAAAAGGUCAUUUGAUUAAUGGAAUAGAUUAUGCCUUAACUCUGUUCAAGACAGGUCUCAGCUGUGAUACUGAAAUUGUUCUGAGCAGAACAGGAAAAUCAUUUGAUUAAUGGAAUAGGUUAUGCCUUAACUCUGUUCAAGAUAGGUCUCAACUGUGAUAAUGAAAUUGUAGUGAACAAAACAGGAAAUAUGCUAUUUUUCUAAUGGAAUAGAUUAUGCCUGAACUCUGCUCGUGACAGGUCUCAGCUCCAAUAUUAAAAAUCAGUGCACCUGAAUUAGGACACAAUUUUUCUCAUCUGGAACUGCGCUUUAAGGUGUUUGGUCUGAAUGCUACGCUCCUGAAUACAAUGUGAUAUAAAAGGUUCAUGAAAUCACCAGGUAUGGAAAUGCUUGACCAUUUUUGUAAAUUACUUAGUACAAUAUUAUCUGUUUGUUUUCUGCAUUAUUUCCCAGUUCUCUUGCAGUACUAUUCAACAACCUAUCUUCCUGCCUACUAGAUAAAAGAGGGUUUUUGUUUACUUAACAUGGUUGCCUGAUUAACAUAGUCAUGGUUUCUGUUAGUUAUUUUUUCCACUACCGAAGCAACAAUUAUCUUCCUACCUACCAGAUAUACUACUACUUGAUUGCUUAGUUACCGGCUUAAGAAGCUCCACGAUUCUUUUAUAUGAUAUUAAAAAAAAUUGAGUUCUAACUUUGUGGAAAGACACGCUAGGUUCUGAUGUUUUGGGGCCAAUGUUCAUUUCUAGAGGCAAAUACUCAGAUUUCUUAGUGAACUAUAAUCCCAUCUAGAUAACCCCCCUCGAUAUAGCUCCCUUUAUUUGCACGACACAAUCUAGCAUAUGACGGUUCUGAUUUGGAUUGUGAGUGUUUCUCCAAAAACUAGGAUUAUAUACUUGAGAACAAACAAAUAACGUUAUAAACUUACCUCGAAGCCUAUGGGUUGACUGAAGCUUGAUAAAUAGUUUCAGAUGCACUAUGGUCUCGUAACAGUAGAAAUAAGCUUUGAGGGAAAGAGAACCAAGUAUAGGUGACUGCAUAGUAGAAGAUGUGUAAUCGUGUUGCACUAUAGUGUCUUUAUAGAAGCCGACAAAAUCAGAGACAUCCUAAAUUUUGUUUUUUGUUCUUGUCAGUUAAGAAAAGAAACAUUAACUCUUGGAUUAUCAGUAAGGGAAUAUGCCUUAUUAGCACACUCUUAUGGUGGUUAUUAUGAGCCUUCACAAAGGCAAUGUACUUAGAGUCAUCGCAGUGAUGAUCGACAUAUAGAAGGAGAGUUUGACCACGAGUUGAAAGGUGGACAAGAAGUGUAGGAUCAUGAGAACUCGCCGAAAACUUGCCGCAAUCACCACUGAGACAAAAUGCUCAAACUAGGCACGAGGGGUUUGCUUAAGGCCAUAAAAGAGCGAUGAAGAUGACAAACCAUGCCAUCAGGAGGAGAAUACCCAGGUGGUGGGUAUAUGUAGACCUCAUGCAACAAGGAGGAAGAGAAAUGGUAUCCCACAUGCCUAUGCGCGCUAGAGCAACAAUCUCGUCUACAAUCGCAUGCUGCUAUUCAUGGUGAACAAAUGCGUCAUACUAAGAAGUCGUCUCGAGAAAAGCGACACUAGAAUAACCAAUAACCAUAGGGCCAAUAGGCAGAAGCGAGAGAGCUCAGAAGCCAUAAGUAGGCCGAGCUUUAGGUGGCGCGUUGCCAACAGGAAAGACCAUAGUAGUCGAGGGAGAUGGCUCAUUAGAAGGAUCCACAACACGUGGACCACAAGUGUAGUGAAGAAGAUGAUAAGGGGGAAUCAUCGGGGAAACCUCAUGGAUGAGCGAGGUGAGGUAGCCUCAGGUAAUGAACGAGGCGGGGAAGCCGCAUGUGGCGGUGUGUGGGGUCUAUAACAGUAGUCGAGGGAGAUGGCUCAUUAGAAGGAUCCACAACACGUGGACCACAAGUGUAGUGAAGAAGAUGAUAAGGGGGCAUCAUCGGGGAAACCUCAUGGAUGAGCGAGGUGAGGUAGCCUCAGGUAAUGAACGAGGUGGGGAAGCCGCAUGUGGCGAUGUGUGGGGUCUAUAACAGUAGUACGGGAGGAUAAGCUGGGAUAGGUGGGCGAGGGCAAUAAAUGAGUGAUAAGUGUAUCAGGAAAAUUGAGGGAAGAAAUAUCGUCAAUGGGGGAGGCCGAAGGAGAGGAUGGACUCGGGUAGAAAGGACGAGACUCAAUCAGAAGUGACAUAUCAAGAAAUACCCAUCCGACGACUAACAAGAUCCCAACACCGAUAGCCCUUGUGCUUAUCGCUGUAAUUUAAGAAGACAUAUUCAACAGAUUGAUCAAAUAGUUUGGUGCGUGAAGAAUGUAGCAAACACAACCAAACAAAUGAAGUGUUGAGUAGUUAGGAGAGAAUGCUCACAAAGACACUCGAGAGGAAUGUCGCCCUGUAGAGCCGAGGAAGGAUGAAUGUUGAUGAGAUAGGUGGCUACGGUCAUCAACGCGCUAGCCGCCUCACGAAGGUGACGAUGCUUGCGCUCAACAACCCCAUUCUAAGCAUGAGCACCAGGACAAGAGAGCAAGUGUGCUUUGCUCAACAAGGAAUCUACGCAACAAAUGAGAGAGAUACACACAAGCAGAAUCUGCACGAAAGACAUGGAUAGUAGUGGAAAACUGGGUAUGAACCAAGGUGGCAAACCUUUUAUAGAUAGAUAAGACCUCACUACAAGAAGGCAUAAAAUAUAUCGACUUGUGUCGAGAGAAAUAAUGGUAAAGGUAAUAUAGUGGCGAUGGCCUCCUUUCGAGGCGAAGAGAGUUGGGUCCCAAACAUUAGAGUGAACAAGAUUGAAUGAGGAUACGGUAACUGAACGUGUUUACCUAGCAGACAAACUUGACAUUUAAAGUUACAUUGCGAGACAGAUCCUAGAAUACCACAUCGUUCUAAGGAUGAGAGACUAGAGCCACACAUGUGACUGAGAUGACGACGCCACAGAGUCAGUAGACAAGGUAAGAGAGUCGAAGAGAUUGGCGGAUGUGGUAGCAGAGGGAAGGCGUAGCCUGGCAAGAUUCAGUGGCCGUGCGAGUCACAACGUCGAGGGUCAACACCAAGUAGAUCACCCGUGUGCAAAUCCUAAAUUAGAAUAAGAGCCAAAGUCAAGAAUAUUGGAGUAAUAGAAAUAUUGUUUGUGUUAGGUUCAAUGAUACAUUUGCUUGGAACCCCGGACGGAGUUAAACUUGAGAUUGGGCACUUGGAUUUGUGAUAUUUUGAUAUGAGCUUGAAACUGGAGAAUUUUAGGGUGUAGCAUGAUGAACCUGAGAUAUAUUGAAUUUAUAUAGGUAUAGUAUGAUUAGCAUGAAUGCAGUAUUUGUGGACUAUUGGAUCAUCUUGGAUAUUACUAGUUGGAUUCUAGGUUAAAGAUAACUUGAGCAGUUGGAUUUGUGAUAUUUUGACCUAAGUUUGGUAGCUUGUAUGGCUAUGAGCAUGCAGAUGAUACGAUCGUAGUUGGUAGACCGUGAUGAUUUUGCUAACCCUCCCCAAGAAUGUUACAAGUACAAGAUCAUCAUGGGAGGAUGAUUUGGAUUAAUUAGAAUAGAUGACAAUUUCAGUGGUAUGAGCCUUGUUGGAGCAGCUGAUGUUGCUUUUAUUAUGUUUUUGUGCUCCUUUAGAUGCAGAAGUAGGAGGGUAGGACUUAUGAAGUGAUACUAUAUUGGUGGAUAAAUAGAUCUUUAAUAACAUUGAAACUGGAGAACUUUAGGGUAGGACUUAUGAAGUUUGGAUUUACUUACAUGAUAGUGAUCUUAGAAAAAAAUCUGGUGGAUAAAUAACUUUUAAUAUUUUGAAUCUAUAGUCAUCUAGUGGAAAGCUUGCUUCAUACUGGACUUAGAUAACCAUGAUAAUGGGCUUCGUUGAAUCAUAGUUAUGAUUUAUACUAGAUGCACACUUUUAGAGAUUUAAACUAGAAAACUUUAGGGUGUAGUAUAAUCAAUUAGAGAUAUAUUGGAUUUAAUAUGAAUAUAAUAUGAUCAACAUGAUUCUGAGAAUUGAUGGAAGAAAGCAAAGAUAUUGGAGUAAUAGAAAUGUUGUUUGUGUUAGGUUCAAUGAUAUAUCUGCUUGGAUUCUAGUUCUAGGUCGGAGUUAAACUUGAGAUUGGGCACUUGGAUUUGUGAUAUUUUGACACGAGCUUUAGAACUGGAGAACUUUAGAACUGGAGAACUUUAGGGUGUAGCUUGAUCAUCCUGAGAUGUAUUGAAUUUAUAUAGGUAUAGUAUGAUUAGCAUGAAUGCAGUAUUGGUGGACUAUUGUAUGAUCUUGGAUAUUACUAGUUGGAUUCUAGGUUGGAGAUAACAUGAGCAUCUGGAUUUGUGAUAUUUUGACCUAAGCUUAGUAGCUUGUAUGCGCCCCAUAUGGAUAUGAGCAUGGAGAGGAUACAAACGGAUUGUAGUUUGUAGACUUUGAUGAUUUGAUAGCCCUCCCCAAGAAUGUUACAAGUACAAGAUCAUCAUGGGAGGAUGAUUUGGAUUAAUUAGAAUAGAUGAUAAUUUUAGUCGUAUGAGCCUUGUUGGAGCAGCUGACCUUGCUUUUAUUAUGUGUUUGUGCUCCUUUAGAUGCAGUAGGGAAGGAGGCUAGUAGUUAUGAUGUGAUAUUAUAUUGAUGGAUAAAUACAUCUUUUAACAAUGUUGGAACAGUUUGGAUUUACUUAGAUGAUUGUGAUCUUGAAAACAAAUCUGGUGGGUAAAUAACUUCUAGUAUUUGGAUCUAUAGUAAUCCAGUGGAGGCUGAGGUAGUUGGAGAGGGCCGAUGAGAAAGCACAUGAGAAGCUUUACUCGAUCUCCUGAAGACCGACAUUGGCGCAAAGGCCGAUGCGGCUGACAGGGUUUUCACCCUCUCGCACACCUCCCGUGCAUUGUUCAUUUCCUGCCAAUUCGGCUUGGUAUCCUUUCCUUGUUUGCGGGUUCUGGGCCACUGGCUUGAUCUGGCAUCACACGUUUUCCUGCCGUGUGUCCUUGGCCUUGGCGGUAGGUAACGUCGUGCGCUCGGGCUGUGUCUCGUGGGUUAGCCAUUGCGGUGCCAACUGCCUGUGUGGCUAUGGCGGCGCCCAGUAAGGAAACAUGAGAUGUGGGAUUGAGGCAUCGCACAUAGCAACCCGAAGCCAGGCAAAGGAUGCCGGUCGGACUGGCAGGAAGUGGAUUGCACAUGAGGUAUGGUGGAAGGGAUGAAAACGUUGGUGGGAGCGGAUUGUCAUUGUCGUUAUUCAUUGUACUUGGAGCCAAGCAUUGAGGGGAUGGUGAUUGGGGAUGUGGGAAGAUGGUUGGAUCAUAGUUAUGAUUACUACCUUUAGAGAUUGAAACUGGAGAACAUUAGGGUGUAGUAUGAUCAAUCGGAGAUAUAUUGGACUUAUAUGAGUGUAAUAUGAUCAGCAUAAUUGUGAAAAUUGAUUAACUAUUACAUCAUCUUGGAUUGAUAUAGUAGGAAGAAAACAAAGAUAUUGGAGUAAUAGAAAUGUUGUUUGUGUUGGGCUCAAUGAUAUUUCUGCAUGGAUUUUAGGUUGGAGUUAAACUUGAAAAUGGACACUUGGAUUGUGAUAUUUUGACAUGAGCUUGAAACUGGAGAACUUUAGGGUGUAGCAUCAUCAACCUGAGAUGUAUUGGAUUUAUAUAGGUAUAGUAAUCAUCAGCAUGAAUGUGGUAUUGGUGGACUAUUGGAUAGACUUGGAUAUUACUAGUUGGAUUCUAGGUUGGAUUUGUGAUAUUUUGACCUAAGCUUAGUAACUUGUAUGUGCCCCAUAUGGAUAUGAGCAUGGAGAUGAUACAAAUGGAUCGUAGUUGGUAGACUCUAAUGAUUUUGCUAGCCCUCCCAAAUAAUGUUACGAGUACAAGAUCUUGGGAGGAUGAUUUGGAUUAGUUAGAAUAAAUGACAAUUUCAGUGGUAUGAGCCUUGUUGGCGCAACUGAUCUUACUUUUAUUAUGUGUUUGUGCUCCUUUAGAUGCAGUAUGAGGAGGGUAGUACUUAUGAAAUGAUAUUAUAUUGGUGGAUAAAAGCCCGAUGCGGCUGACAGGGUUUUCACCCUCUCCCACACCUCAUGUGCAUUGUUCAUUCCCGCUGAUUCGGCUGGGUGUCCUUCCCUUGUUUGCGAGUUCCGUGCCAAUGACUUGAUCCGGCAUCACACGUUCUCCCGCCGUGCGUCCUUAGCCUUGGCGGUAGGUAACGUCGUGCUCUCGGGCUGUGUCUCGUGGGUUAGCCAUUGCGGUGCCGACUGCCUGUGUUGCUAUGGCGGCGCCCAGCAGGGAAACACGAGAUAUGGGAUUGAGGCAUCGCACAUAGUAACCCAAAGCGAGGCAAAGGAUGUCGGUCGAACUGGCAGGGAGUGGAUUGCACCUGAGGUAUGGUGGAAGGGCUGAAAAUGUUGGUGGGAGCGAACUGUCAUUGCCGUUAUUCAUUAUACUUGGAGCCAAGCGUCGAGGGGAUGAUGAUUGGGGAAGGUGGGAAGAUGGUUGGAUCAUAGUUAUGAUUACUACUAGAUUCACACCGUUUGAGAUUGAAACUGGAGAACUUUAGUGUGUAGUAUGAUCAAUCGGAGAUAUAUUGGAUUUAUAUGUGUAAUAUGAUCUGCAUGAUUGUGAAAAUUGAUGGACUACUACAUUAUCUUGGAUUGAACUAGUAGGAAGAAAACAAAGAUAUUGGAGUAAUAGCAAUGUUGUUUGUGUUAGAUUCAAAUGUUUAAUGAUAUAUGUGCUUGGAUUCUAGGUCGGAAUUAAAUUUGAGAUAAGGCACUUGGAUUUGUGAUAUUUUGAAAGCUUGAAACUGGAGAACUUUAGGGUGUAGCAUGGUCAACCUGAGAUGUAUUGGAUUUAUAUAGGUAUAGUAUGAUUAGCAUGAAUGCGGUAUUGGUGGACUAUUGGAUGAUCUUGGAUAUUACUAGUUGGAUUCUAGGUUGGAGAUGACUUGAGCACUUGGAUUUGUGAUAUUUUGGCCUAAGCUUAGUAGCUUGUAUGUGCUCCAUAUGGAUAUGAGCAUGGAGAUGAAACAAUUGGAUCGUAGUUGGUAGACUUUGAUGAUUUCGCUAGCCCUCCCCAAGAAUGUUACAAGUACAAGAUUAUCAUGGGACGAUGAUUUGGAUUAAUUAGAAUAGAUGACAAUUUCAGUGGUAUGAGCCUUGUUGGAGCACCUGAUCUUGCUUUUCUUAUGUGUUUGUGCUCCUUUAGAUGCAGUAGUGGGAGGAGAGUAGUACUUAUGAAGUGAUAUUAUAUUGGUGGAUAAAUAGAUCUUUAAUAACCUUGGAACAAUUUGGAUUUACUUAGUUGAUUGUGAUCUUGAAAAAAAAUCAGAUGGAUAAGUAAAUUCUAAUUUUUCAAUCUAUAGUGAUCUAGUGAAAGCUUGCUUUAUACUGGAUGAUAACCAUGAUAGUGGGCUUGUUUGGAUCGUAGUUAUGAUUUGUACUAGAUGCACACCUUUAGAGAUUGAAACUGGAGAACUUUAGGGUCUAGAAUGAUCAAUCAAACAUAUAUUGGAUUUAUAUGUGUAAAUAUGAUCGGUAGGAUUGUGAAAAUUGAUGGACUAUUACAUCAUGUUGGAUUGAAUUAGUAGGUAGAAAACAAAGAUAUUGGUGUAAUAGAAAUGUUUGUGCAAGGUUCAGUGAUAUUUUUGCUUGGAUUCUAGGUCGGAGUUAAACUUGAGAUUGGGCACUUGGAUGAUGUUUUCACAUGAGCUUGAAGCUAGAGAAGUUUAGGGUGUAGCAUGAUCAACUUGAGAUGUAUUGAAUUUAUAUAGGUAUGGUAUGAUUAGCAUGAAUGCGCUAUUGGUGGACUAUUGGAUCAUCUUUGAUAUUACUAGUUGGAUUCUAGGUUAGAGAUAACUUUUGAUUCUAGGUAAUAGUUAUGACGUGAUACUAUAUUAGUGGAUAAAUACAUCUUUGAUAACUUUGGAACAACUUGGAUUAACUUAGAUGAUUGUGAUCUUCAAAAAAAAUCUGGUGGAUAAAUAACUUAUAAUAUUUGGAUCUAUAGUAAUGAGGGCAGGCCUGGCGCAGUGGUGAAGUCCUCCCCACUUGUGCCAAGAGGUCCUGGGUUCGAACCAGCCUCUCUGCAUUGCACUUUGCAGGGGUAAGACUAGGUUCCUAUAAUCCCACCCCAGACCCCACCUUGUGUGGGAGCUUCUAUGCACUGGGUCUGUCCUUUCCUUUUAUUUGGAUCUAUAGUAAUCUUGUGGAGGCUGAGGGAGUUGCAGAGGAGCGAUGAGAAAGCACAUGAGAAGCUUUACUCGAUCUCCUGAAGAUCGACAUUGCCGCCGUGCAAAUCCCUAUGGGGCUGACAGGGUUUUCACCCUCUCCCACACCUCAUGUGCACAUUCCUGCCGAUUCGGCUUGGUGUCCUUCCCUUGUUUGCGAGUUCUGUGCCAAUGACUUGAUCUGGCAUCACACGUUCUCCCGCCGUGCGUCCUUGGCCUUGGCGGUAGGUAACGUCGUGCUCUCGGGCUGUGUCUCGUGGGUUAGCCAUUGCGGUGCCGACUGCCUGUGUGGCUAUGGCGGCGCCCAGCAGGGAAACACGAGAUGUGGGAUUGAGGCACCGGACAUAGUAACCCGAAGCCAGGAAAGGAUGCCGGUCGGGCUGGCAGGAGCGGAUUGCACAUGAGGUAUGGCGGAAGGGAUGAAAACAUUGUUGGGAGCGGAUUGUCCUUGGAGCCAAGCGUCGAGGGGAUGGCGAUUGGGUAAGGCGGGAAGAUGGUUGGAUCAUAGUUAUAUUACUACUAGAUGAUUGGAUAGCCUAUAUGUGUCCCAUAUGGACAUAGCAUGAAGUUGAUACAAACGGAUUGUAGUUGGUUGACUUGAUGAUUUUGCUAGCCCUAUCCAAGAAUAUUACGAGUACAAGAUCAUGGGAGGAUGAUUUGGAUUAAUCAGAAUAGAUGACAAUUUCAGUGGUAUGAGCCUCGUUGGAGAAGCUGACCUUGCUUCUAUUAUGUGUUUGUGCUCCUUUAGAUACUGUAGUAGGAGGGUAUCACUUAUGAAGUGAUUUUAUAUUGGUGAAUAAAUAGAUUUUUAGUAACCUUGGAACAAUUUGGAUUUACUUGUGAUUGUGACACAGCGGUGGAUAAAUGACUUCUAAUUUUUGGAUCUAUAGUAAUCCAAUGGAAACUUGUUUUGACUUAGAUAACAAUGAUAGUGGGCUUGGUUGGAUCAUCGAACAUAUAAAGGAUGAGCGGGGUGCUAGGCACAACCGCUGUCUCCACGUAGGCUAUGAAUAGUGCCGGCGAAGUGAGCGUUGCGUCCCGCGCGAGUAGAGAAGCGAGAGACCUAACCCGUCUCCCCCGCAACCCCUGCCUCCUCUCCCGCCGCCGCCGCCGCCGCACCCCCUUCUCCCCUUCUCCAUGCUCGCCGCUGCCGGCACCGCGUCCGCCGCUCCCCCGCCUCGAGCCAAACACCGCCAUGGAGCCUCCGCUCCCUUGCCUCGAGCCACCCCGUGCCUCGUUUGCCUCCUCUCCCCCCUCUCCCUCGUCUCCUCUCCCGCCCCGCCAGCCCCUUCUCUCCUUCCCCGCGCAAGCCAGCCCCGGAUCUGGAGGAAGAGGAGAGAUGCGGGUUCUGGAGGAGGAAGAGGAGAUCUGGGCCUCGCGGCGGUGGCUCGACCGAUGCAAGGUGAUGACAAGUUGCCUCCUCUUGCACGCCCUCUCCCUCGCCGCCGCCACGGCCUCUCCCACCGCUCAUCUCCACCUCCUCCCACUUUCCCUGUUGCUCACAUCCCUCUCAGUCCAUGGCUUCCGGCGCAUCCCCUCGCGGCGGCCACCACUCCUUGUCUCCUCCCAGGUUCUCGAUCUGGAGGGCGGGCCGCCAAGAAAGCCGGCUCCGUCUUGCUCUCGCACCACUGUCCAUCCACCCGAGAAGCCCGUCCACACACCUGUCAUUCACGCCCCUCCUCCUCGGCUCGUUCUCAUCUCUGUCAGGCAGAUGAGCUCCUGCUUCCUCUCUGUCUCCCUUUGAUUUUGUGCUUGUGCUGUACUGUGUGUUUGUGCAGUUGCUUUGUGAGCUACAGCUACUACUUGUGCUGCUAGAUGUGUGUGCUGGUUCUGGUGCUGCUAGCUGCUGCUGGUUGCUUGUGUUGCUGGUAUGUGUUACACUGCUACUACCUGUUGCUGGUUGCUUCUUUAUUUGGUUAAUUGUGACACUGAAAAGCCUUUUGUGAAAAGCAAAAAUUAUUGAGAAGGCUAUGAGCUGAUGAGAUGACCUUCAUUUUCAAUUUCUUAUUUAAUAAUUGAUGAAGGAUAUGUCAUAUAUUCAGUUGCUAACAUUUUCUCUGUGGUGUAUGUACCUAUUGUUCAUUGCAUUCGAGGGAGAGGAAAACAAGAGUAAGAGAGCCUUGGGACACGACGGCAGUAGCACGCAGCGCCAGGUCAAGCGCACCGACCUCGACGACAAGAGACCAACCAGUACACUUAACAAGAGUAAGAGAGCCUUGGGACAACACUGGAUGAGGGCAGGAUUUUAUUUCCCCAUCGUGUCUGAUGAUGUGUUCAUGAGCUAAUUUGUUCUUAUAGUGGUUCCAAUUUUAUUUCUAUCUCGCAGGAUUUUGUUGCAACGACACAGUGCUGACAAUUUUUCUUUUUGGAAUUUGUCAAUGAAAUUCUGCUCGAUCAUGUAACCUUUUGUUUGGAUUGUCGGCCGCCUUGUCUAUAUUUGUAGAUACUGAUUUUGUUGUUUGCUUAAUGGCUCAUUAUUUCACAGGAUGUUGGGGCUCGGGCAAGGGAGGCUGCGCUCAGUGCAGUACUGCGGUCUUUUACUGCCCUUCACUGUUAAUUAAAUAUAUAUUAUCUUCAUAGCUCAUACAGUUUUAGGCUUUUAGCAGUAUGAAAAGUCACAGAUAAUGUGAUGGCGACAUUUGGGCUUAUACAAGUGUUAGUUGUCAGUCUCUGCCCGCAUGCAUUUGAACUUGCCUUGGCCACGAUCCUUAAGCUUGUCAAAAGUUGUGGAUCGAUAGGCAUUGACAAAAAAAUAUAAGCUCUAUGUUCUGAAAUACAGGUAGAGCAGCUGCUAUAGCACCCCUAGGGAGAUUGCAUUGAUUGAUUCUCAUCGUAUAUAUAACUCAACUAUUUAAAGUAUUCUAUAUACACUGAAAUCGUGCUCAUAAUUUUUUAAAGUAUUCUAUAUGCACUGAAAUCGAGCUCAUAAUUUUUUUUAUCAUGUACCUUUUCUGCUAAAGAUCAUUACACUUCUCUUCAAUACAUCAAUGUUACUUCCAAAGCAGAGUCCCUCCUAGAGGACAGUUUCUUUUAUCAGAAGGGUGAGUGUGUUGUAUAUUUUUCUGUCCACUAAAUCAACUACUUCUGGUUACAUAUUGUGACAGAAUUAAGUAGGCAUAUGCUUAUUCGUUGAUUCUUAUACCGAAACUGAAUUGGUAUUGUGUUAAUACAUUAUAGUCAUCCUUGAAGGACAUGUGUUUUAUUGCCAUGCAUGCUUAAUGAUUGCUUGCUGAAGCAUUGGUCCUAAUUUACCACGGGUUUGGCGUUGCGUUUUCUUUUUGUAUAUGGUUGCUGCAGUGGCCAUUGAAUAAUGAUUCUAUCCAUUAGUAGUAUCUUGUCAUUAUGAAAGUUUGUGUAUUUUUUGUACAUAUGAAGGUUUGUGUAUUUUGUUCUCAGCUGCGUUGCUACAUAUAAAUUUGAGGCAAAUGAUGAUACGGUUCAGACUCACACUUUUCUGAUUUUAUCUUGUCAUUAUGAAGGUUUGUGUAUUUGUUUUUGUUCUGCAUAUAAAUUUGAGAAUGAUUUUAUGGUUCAAAGAGACAGUUUAAUCAUAUUUGAGCUGCCAGCUUGCUUCAGCCAUGUGAUAUCGGAGCCCGAGGUUGACAGUGGCCAAAUGACUGAACUUGUUCGCAACAUUAAUAGUAGUACUCUUGAUAAACAUAGCAUUCCUGACCUUUUUGUACCGUUCGCCUGUUUGCAUGUUUAUAACAGGGGAAUUAGUCCAAGUGUUAUUGGUUCACUUGCUACAGGUGGAAUAUAUCUUUGGUGUUAUUGAAUCUUUAACCAAGACAUGGCUGGAGGCUGGAGCACACUAAUCCUGAUCGAAUAGGUCAUCUCACUUUAUAGGUGGAGUAAUUGGUGAGAUUUUUUCGGUCUCUUGUAUUUUACUUUCCAGAAAAUCUGCAUGAUGGUACUCAAAAUUUAUGAAUGGUUUUAUUGGUAUGUCAUGGUGUGGAUAGAGAUGAUGUUCAGUAGACUCCCUCAUCAUCUUGCCAGUGCUAUUGAUCGCUCACAGCUUGAAUCUGAAUGUGCUUCUUCCAGUGUAUGCUCCCUCUCUUUGGUUCAUUAGCCUCCCAAGACUACUUUGGUAUGAAAGUAAAGCCUUCACUUACUGCCAGUGUAAUUUUGGCUAUUUUUUUAAUUUCAUUAGACAUAUACGUUUCUGGAGUGAUCUUCAUAACAUACGCAGUCAAAUUUGUUUUUCUCAUAAGUUGGAUCAUCGCAUAACUUAUUGGUGGUUGCACUAGCUGAGCUUUAUUAUAAGUUCUGGUGCACAUUGUAUAUCAUGGAUAAAGUGUAUGUAAUCUUCUUGGUGAGUAGGUUUUAGAAUGAUAUAAAAUUUAAAUAAUUGAGCUAGCAUUAUAAUGCUUCAGGUUUUUUCUUUCAAUCAAUUAACUUUGGACUGCUCACUAAUUGGUGCCCAUGCAUGUUCUGUUUUAGUUUUUUCACUUUAUUAAACAUACAAGUUUCUGGAGUGAUCUUCAUAACAUACAGAGUCAAAUUUGUUUUCUCACAAGCUGGAUCAUCGCAUAACUUAUUGGUGGUUGCACUAGCUGAACUUUGUUAUAAGUUCUGGUGCGCAUUGUAUAUCAUAGAUACAGUGUAUGUAAUCUUCUUGGUGAGUAGGUUUUAGAAUUAUAUAAAUUUUAAAGAAUCGAAGCUAGCAUUAUAAUGCUUCAGGUUUUUUCUUUCAAUCAAUUAACUUUUAACUGCUAACUCCGCCUAUGUCUUCUAGGCAUAGCCGGUCCCAAGCCCGGGUAAAGGAGGAGGGUUGUGAUAGGCUUGGCGAGCCAACGUAAAAACUAGCCAGUCCCAUAGGUAUGAAACCGAUUUGAGCGAGAGUAGUAUUAGGAUGGGUGACCUCCUGGGAAGUCCUUGUGAAAGAGUUUCAUAUCUAAGGGUUGUGAUAGGCUUGGCGAGCCAACGUAAAAACUAGCCAGUCUUUUGGGUAUGAAACCCAUUUGGGCGAGAGUAGUACUAGGAUGGGUGACCUCCUGGGAAGUCCUCGUGAAAGGGUUUCAUAUCUAGCCUACCCCAACUUGUUUGGGAUCAAAGGCUUCGUAAGUAAGUAAGUAAGUAACUUUUAACUGCUCACUAAUUGGUGCCCACACAUGUUCUGUUACAAUUGAAGGUAAUUUACAAGAAACGGUAGAUGUUUUAGUUUUAGGAAAUAUAUCAAAAUAAAAUCUGUGGUCAAUCUAGGUUGUACUAAUAUAUAUGUUUUUAAGAGACUGCUCGGUAUUUAUUUCCUAGCAGGAAUUCCAUACCAUUUCAUGGCCAUUGAAACUUGCCUAUUAACCACGAGAAAUCACUUUGUUAGACCUUUCAACCUGAGCAUUGAUAGUUGUGGAUGGCACUAGGAGAGUUGGGACAAUUUUCGUUGGUUUAUUUCUCACACAAUGCCAUGCCAACCUGAGGGGUUGGGGAUACAUAUUUAUAGGCUGCUAGCCAGCCAAGGCAUAUGCUAAGAUGCUGCUAAGAUGCCAGUCUAAGAUGCUAGUCUAAGAUGCUAACUGACAGUCCUUGAUGGUCAAGAACAGAACUCAACAGAACUCUAUCCUAACAGCCAGUCCUUGAUGGUCCAGGACUUUAUCCUCCUAACUGCCACAAGGACCAUGUGCUGCAGCCCCACAAGGACCCUAGUACACAGACUUAUCCAUCAUUCUCCCCCUAAGUCUUGUACGUCGUCUUGUGGGAGAGUUGAAUCAUCCCAAUCCUGGAGCAAAGUUCGAGGAACUUGACCCUCCCAAGGGGCUUGGUGAGCAGGUCUGCGAGCUGAUCCUUGGUGUUGAUGUAGCUCGCCUCGAUGCUCCCUUCUUCCACACAGCUGCGGAUGAAGUGAUACCUCAGUCGGAUGUGCUUGCUUCGUUCGUGGAACACGGGGUUCUUUGCCAGGGCCAGGGCGGACUUGCUGUCCACCAGGAGCUGCACCGUUUUGGUGUCUUGAAUGAGAAGAUCACCAAGCAGUCGAGCAAGCCGGAGCGCCUGCGAGUGCGGGCGGUGGAGGCCGCUAUGUACUCAGCCUCACAGCUGGACAGGGCCACCACCUGCUGCUUGACUGAUUGCCAGCUCACGAGACACUUGCCGAGGAAGAGGAGGAUCCCGCUCGUGCUCUUGCUGGUGUCAAUGUCGCCGGCGUGGUCGAUGUCGCUGUACCCGACGAAGUGUGCCGCCCCAGGACACCUAGGGUAGUGGAGGCCGUGGUCGAGGGUCCCUGCUAUGUAGUGGACGAUCCUCUUCACUGCCUGCUGGUGUUCCGACGUUGGUCGCUCCAUGAACCGACUGACAUAGCCGACGAAGAAUGUCAAGUCCGGCCGUGUGUGAGUGAGGUAGCGAAGGCUCCCCACAAGGCGUCGGUACUGCGUAGCAUCCACUUCCUUCGUCGUGCUGUCGCGGCUCAGUUUCAGCCUCUCCUCCAUCGGAGUGAGAGCUGGAUGGCAGUCGGUGAGCCCAGCUAGCUCAACGAUGCGCUUGGCGUAGGCGGACUGUCGAAGCGCGAUCCCGGAGUGGUCCUGGUGCACCUCAAUCCCUAGAUAGAAGGAGAGGAGCCCCAGGUCACUCAUCUGGAACGUGGCCUUCAUGUCUUCCUUGAACGCCGCCACCUCUGCACCUUUGGUGCCGGUGAUCACCAGGUCGUCAACGUAGACGCCCACCAGCAGGGCAUUUCCUCCACUCCCCCGUCGGUAGACGGCAACCUCAUGCGGGCUCUGCUCGAAACCCAUCUUCUUCAGCGUGGAGUCCAGCUUGGCGUUCCACGCCCUGGGUGCCUGCCGCAGACCAUAGAGAGCCUUGCGCAGGCGGAGCACCUUGCCCUCCUGGCCGGGAAUCGUAAAUCCAGGUGGCUGAUGCACGUAGACUUCCUCCUUCAAGUCGCCAUUGAGGAAUGCCGACUUAACGUCCAUGUGGUGGACACGCCAGCCCUCCUGGGCAGCCAGCGCAAGGAGAAGUCGCACGGACUCCAUCCGUGCCACGGGAGCGAAAGCGUCGUCGAAGUCGACUCCUUCCUGCUGCAAGAAGCCUCGGGCCACCAAGCGAGCCUUGUGCUUGAUGAUGGCGCCGGCUCCAUCCCUCUUCAGCUUGAACACCCACUUAAGGGUGAUUGCGCGGUGACCUCGAGGGAGAUCAGCGAGCUCCCAGGUGCGGUUUUGCUCGACCGCAUCCAUCUCCAACUGCAUCGCGGCGCGCCAUGCCGCGUCUCUCUCGGCCUCUGCAAAGGACCGUGGUUCGCCGUCCUCACACGCGAGUUGUAGCUGCGCCUCCAGGUCACGUGGCAUCAGUCCCGGCACCGGCUGGUCGCCGAGUAGAUCAUCCAUCGUGCGAUGCCGCAGCUGUUCGCCUCCAUACCAUGCGUCGACCCGCUCCUCGUCGUGAGUGAGUGGGGAAGCGAACUUCAUCGGGUUGUGCUCUGCGUGAGCUGGUGCUGAUGAAGACGAGCCCGGAGUGGCGACCGCCGGGGCUGGAGUAUGCGGCGUCGCCGGUUGUGGUGUCGUCGGUGUAGCAGGCGCCGGAGUCGAUGUAGUUGGGGCCGGAGUAGACGUGCCCGGUGAAGAGGAGCUGUUUGCUCCCCCAGCUUCCUUGAAGUGGACGUACUCGACAAUGAAGUCGUCAUACGUCGGCGUCGAGCCGUCGUCCACCGCCUUGUCCCAUUGCCACCCUCGCCCUUCGUUGAACACGACGUCUCGCGCUGUGCGCACACGUUGUGUCUUUGGGUCGAGGAUGCGGUAGGCCUUUGAGCCCUCCGCGUAGCCGAUGAAGACUCCCGGAGUGCUCCUGUCGUCGAGCUUGCCGAUGUGGCCGAGCUCCUUGGCGAACGCAAGGCAGCCAAAGACCCGCAAAUGAGAGACCGCCGGCUUCCGCCCAUGCCAGGCCUCGUACGGAGUUCUGCCGUCGAGUGCCUUAGUAGGAGAGCGGUUGAGGAUGUAGACGGCCGUUAGCACCGCCUCUCCCCAGAAGACAGCCGGCAUCCCUCUCUGCUUGAGGAGAGCCCGAGCCAUCCCCACAACCGUCUGGUUGCGCCGCUCGACGACGCCGUUUUGCUGCGGGCUGUACGAUGCGGAGUAGUGGCGCUGGAUGCCCUCAUUGGCGCAGUACGACGCGAAUUCAGCCGCCGUGAACUCGUCGCCGUUGUCAGUGCGCAACACGCGCAGUUUGCGGCCGCUCUCCGCCUCCACACCAACCUGCGCGCGCCUGAUGGCGUCCGUCGCUUCUCCCUUACUGCCGAGGAUCAUCACCCACAUGUAGCGGGAGAGAUCGUCGACGAGCAGCAGGAAGUAGCGUCGACCUCCUGGUGUGGCUGGCGUCACCGGGCCGCACAGGUCUCCGUGCACGAGCUCCAGCUUCUCCUUAGCCCGAAAACUCGCCUGUUGGGGAAAGGGGAGUCGUCUCUGCUUUGUCAGUACGCAGAUGUCGCAGAACUGCUCCACAUGGUCGAGGCAUGGCAGGCCUCGCACCAUCUCCUUGGCACUUAGACGCUUCAGGGCCUCAAAGUGAAGGUGCCCAAAGCGCUCAUGCCACUGCCACGCCUCGUCGUCUCGACGGACAGCGAGACAGACCGGUUGUGCCACCUGCACAUCAAGGACGUAGAGUCGAUUUUCACCUCUGGGCACCUUGGCGAGAAGGCGACGCUGGCGAUCCCAGAUGCGUAGGACCCCAUGCUCAAUCAGCACGCGUGAGCCGUUCUCAUCCAGCUGUCCCAAGCUGAUGAUGGAAUUCCUUAGCGCGGGGAUGUAGUAGACACCGGUGAGCAGCCGGUGCUCUCCCAUCUUGGUGGUGAAGAUGACGGAGCCGACGCCCUUUAUCUCCACAGCGGAGGCAUCCCCGAACUUGACGGAGCCUCGCGCAUCGGAGUUGAGCUCGGCGAAGAAUUCCCUUCGACCGGUCAUGUGGUGGGUGGCGCCGGUGUCGAGGCACCACCCGGUAGCCUUGUCCUUCCCGGAGCCAUCGCCGAGAAGAGCGUGUGCUUUUGGCUCAUCGAGGUGGAUGAAAGCCUUUGCGACUGGAGUCGCCGAGGGUAGCUCAAUGCUUGCAUGCGCCAUGAACAGAGCCGUCUCCUCCUCCUUCGCCUGUGCGACGUGAGCCUGGCCUUGUCGUGGUUGCCGACACUCAUUGCCCCAAUGGCCAAACCGGCCACAGUUGUGGCAACUGUUGUCUUGUGCCGGCUUGGGCUUGCCAGCGGCGCCGUCCUUGGCGCCUCCGCGGGCGUCACCUUCGGCACGUCCUUGUGCCCUGCCCGGGGGGCCUCUUCGCGCCUUACGCUGCUUGCCACGCUUGCGGCCGCCCGUCGAGGAGGAAGGCUCCCCCUUCUUCCUGUCACCAAGGCUGGGAUCCCACUGCUCCCGAGUUAGGAGCAGCUUCCCGCCGGUGGUGACGGGCCCCGAGGGGGGUUGUGGCUCGUCGGUGUCGACGACCUUGAGUCGACCUAUCGCCUCCUCGACCGUCAUCGUAGAGAGGUCCAGCAACGACUCGAUCGAGCGAGCCAUCUGCUUGUACUUCUCGUGAAUGCACCGAAAAAGCUUCUCGACAGCUCUCUCCUCGGUGUAGGUGGCAUCGCCAAACUUCACCAUCUUCUGCAGCAGAGUGUUGAGACGGAGAGCAAAGUCAUCAACGUCCUCACCUGGCUUGAAGCCCAGGUUCUCCCACUCCUUACGAAGUGCCUGCAGGGUGGACUUGCGAGCACGGUCGCUGCCGAUGCGUGCUGCGGCGAUGGCGUCCCAAGCCUCCUUGGCAGUCCGCUUGUUGGAAAGCGAGAACUGCAUCUCGGGCGGGACUGCGGCGAUGAGGGCGUCCAGUGCCCGUCGAUCCUCUAGGUGGUCGACGUUGCUGUCCUGGACUGCCUCCCACAUGCGCCGCACCUGGAGCCUGACCUUCAUGAUCCCGUCCCACUCGACGUAGUUGGUUUUAGUGAGGGUAGGCCACCCAACACUGGAACCAACAUCCUUGACCACAGUCCGGACCUCGUAGAGGCCGCGGUCCUGGUCGUUGCAGCCGCCGUCGCGGUGCGCGCCUCCACCUGGAGCGCGGGCGCGCUCGGCUGCCCACUGCGCCGUCCGCUCCUGCGCCACUUUGGCGCGAUCUGCGUCGGCGCCGUCGUCCGCAGGCGCGGAGCUGCUGGAGCUGCCGGGGAGUGCCUUGGCGUCCGCCGUAGCCUCACGGGCUGCUUCUGCUGCUGCUGCUGCUUCUACCUCCGCCCUGGCUGCUUCUACCUCCGCUCUGGCUGCUGCCAGCUCCGCUGCAGCCAGCCUCGACACUCUUGCCGCCGCAGCAGCCGCUGCUACAGCCGCUCGCUCACGCUCCUCUGCCACGGCGCGCUCGGCCUCUUGCCGGCGCCGCAUGCUCGAGGUAGCCGUGUGCUGAGAGCGACCUGCAGACAUGGCUCGCUGCAGGGGGGCUGUUGCGUGAAGAGGAGGCUGAUGAAGACGAGCUGCUGCUCGACAGUCCGGAGGGAGGAAGGUAACCAGAGGCAGACGGAGCAGCUGCUGCUACCGACUUGGGCUGCUCACAGGAAAUGCUCAGGGUGCAGGUUAACCUGGCUCUGAUACCACUUGUUAGACCUUUCAACCUGAGCAUUGAUAGUUGUGGAUGGCACUAGGAGAGUUGGGACAAUUUUCGUUGGUUUAUUUCUCACACAAUGCCAUGCCAACCUGAGGGGUUGGGGAUACAUAUUUAUAGGCUGCUAGCCAGCCAAGGCAUAUGCUAAGAUGCUGCUAAGAUGCCAGUCUAAGAUGCUAGUCUAAGAUGCUAGUCUAAGAUGCUAACUGACAGUCCUUGAUGGUCAAGAACAGAACUCAACAGAACUCUAUCCUAACAGCCAGUCCUUGAUGGUCCAGGACUUUAUCCUCCUAACUGCCACAAGGACCAUGUGCUGCAGCCCCACAAGGACCCUAGUACACAGACUUAUCCAUCACACUUUAGUUCUCUGUGUACGUUGAUCAUUGUAGUGCAGUGUUUGAUAUGUUGCCAAUAGCCUUUCCCUUGGCUCUUCCUCUCUAUUUAGUUAUUCCUCGAAUCAAGUGCAUAGUUAUUUUGUUGUUGCAGGUUUUAUUGUCGUUAUAAUUGUGUACUCACUUUGUUCUAGGAUAUAAAGGCAUGUUAGUUAUUCCUUUAUCAUGCCUAUAAUGUUCAAAACUUCGAAAUCAUAUGGGAUAAAGAUCACGUCUCUUUUUAUUUUGACAUGGCCACCUUUAUCGUUAUACAGUAUUUUUUAUGAAAACAUUGCAGAUAUUAUUUACAGAUGCAAAUUUGUAUCAGGACUUGAAAAUUUGUAGUCACUGCAUGUUCUCUUAUAUACUCUGUCAUGGUGUACUUCAUUUUAAGCUUCAGAACUAGGAGAUUGGUUUAUAGGUUAUGUGCCUUUGCUUUGUAGUAAGUUGUGGAUGUCAAUGUCAGUUCUGCUGCAAAGUUGGGGAAAGAAUUGCAGUGCAAUCAAGUUUCGUCUGAUCACACAACAUCAGCGAUGUGACGAUGAAGCAAUGACAUUGUCUGGCUAUUCAUACAAUUCUAUGGAAGAUGCAAUGGACGUUGCAGCUGCUCGAGUAAUGAAAUACUCCCUCCGUCCCAAAAUUCUUGUCUUAGAUUUGUCUAGAUACGGAUGUAUCUAAUACUAAAACAUGACUUGAUACAUCCGUAUUUAGACAAAUCUAAGACAAGAAUUUUGGGACGGAGGGAGUACUAUAGUUACAACGAGCUGCAACAAACAAAGGAAAGAGAACUGCAUCUGAUUGGUUUGUUAGGACAAAGAAAAAGAAAUCAAAGAACAGGCUCUGAAGAUUAGAGAACUUACAAAAGACUUUGCAGACUACUUAUAUCAGGUUAAAAGCACUUCUUCUGAGAUUCACCGCCCAGCUAAAGGAAGUGUAUGCUCAGCCAAUUCCAUAAGUGGUCGCGAGCUCGACAAAGCGGCUAGAUAUUCACAAUGCAAUUGCCAUCUUGGCAAGUUGAGUGAAAACUCUAUGCAGGUAAUCCAAAACACAUCUGUAUAUCCACUUAGGAGAGGAUCUACUUCCACAGCCUAUGUGCCUUCAGAAGAUGCCGAUACUACCAGCUACAGCAGCCUUCUUUGAAUAUCAAGUGAUUACCUUUGUCUAGAGAAGAUCACUGCCAUAGUUCAUCUGCCAGUCUUUCCAGAGCUUCUAUCCUGUUGAUGGACUUUGAACUUAAGCUAUCCUCGGCUAUGUAUGUUAGUUGCAGCAAUCACAUGUAUAUAGAUUAAACCAUCGGCUACGUUCUAUGUUGUGUGGCAAUGCCAUAGUCUCUCAAUAUAACAUGCAGCAACUUAUUAUGUAUUUUCUACGAACUUAUGUUCAUUAUUAACAAACCUACCAUGCAUUGUAAUAUAUAACGCUAUGUAUGAACAUCAAUCAGAAAUUUAUGAUUGGUCUGUCAAUAUUCUUAUUUGCUUGGUUCGAAUGCUUGGUUUCCUCCUGCUCUUUUGCGCUAGGUGCGACAAUGUGGAUGAAGCGUGUGCUGCAUCUAAAAAAAAAUCCAUGUUCUUGCUGGAGCUACCUACUAUUUCAAUGGCUAUCGGUAAUCUCAGACAGGCUCAUCUAAAGAUUCAUGGUGCUGUGGUUGAACUUCAGAGCAUUUCAAGUGCGGGAUGUCUCUCACUGAAGAAUGAAGGUAUAUACCCAUAGCAGAAGAAAGGUAUAUACCCAUAUGAUCCAGACUUAGACUCAAGCUGUGGUGAGGAUUUUGUCCCUAUGUACCAACCUUCAAUGUAAUAUAUAAUACUAUGUAGGAACAUCAUACCUGUAUCUAUUUCCCUAUGCUACAAAGAUUUAAUGAACGGUCUCUAUAUAUUUUAUAUCUCAGGGUUUGAAAGCUUGGUUUGCUCUCGCUCUUUGCCCGGGCUUGCGAGGCACGCACGCGCUACAAUGGCCCCCGAUACAUCAGGGAAAAUCGUCAACGCAUCUGGGGUUACCCGAGCAGCUGGGCUAGUUGUGCUUCAUUAAUCAACUAAUGGGCUUCCUUCCGUCAGUAAAUGAAUGGGUCAGCUGACCUGGAGUACUGAGCUACUAGCCUAGGCCUAACAAGCACUGUAUUGGGUUGUUUUACUCGAGGCGAGGACCACGAUAUUUUUUCUCAAAAAAAGAACCACGAUCGAGCGUUGGCUCCACCUCCCCGUGACCCCGCUUGUUAGGUUGUUCCAGACGGAGACACCCUGGGUUGAUCGGAGACGGAACGGCGGCGAGUGGAGGCUGGCCUGGGCUGGGCACAGUGCCAGCAGUGGGCUGAGUCGGAGCGGAUCCAUCCCAGGAACGGCUGCUUGCCCCCUUGUUACUAGGUGAGAUUGAUAGACUUAUUUUUAGGUUUAAAUUUUGAGAUUAGAGCGUGGGGAGUUGGUCAUUGAGGAUAUUUCACUUUAAGAUUACAUUUGUAUGACUACUAUGUUCAAAAUUCGCUUAAUUAUUAAUGUUGAUAGAUUUGUGGCUCACGAUUUUUGUGCUAUUUUCUAUGUUGUCUAUAUGAAUCAAGGUUUUUUGCUGGUCAAUAUUCUGGAAACCGACCGGUUAACGGAUAUUUCAUCGGACCCUGAAUUUGUUGCUACAUGUUUAGGUAGUUAACAUAGAACCCAUAUUCAUAUUUUAGCACAAAACAUAGCCCCUAGCCUUGUGGAAGUGCUUUCAGCGUCACGGGAUCGACUACCAGUCUCGUCAGCUUGAUUUUAGUGUUUAAUUAUUUUUUAAGCCGUGGUGGGUUAGAGAGGACUCAAAUCUGCUCAUUAGGGAGUGGAUUGAUGUGUUCACUGCUAGAACACAAAGAGAUUUGCGUACAUAAAGGGUAAAAAUAAGUCCGGCUAAUUUGAUGAUUAAUUCCUACUGAUUGUACACUUUCAACUCAAGCGUUGCACCAUAUGCCAGAUUGUUUGGUACCUCAUUCAUCCUAGAUUUUUAGACGCAAAGCAUCUAGAUUUUAAAACAAGAAAUAACAUCUCUAACAAAAUUAUUCACUCAAAAGAGCAUGCCCAAGAUUGCAUCUCUCAUCUUUACAGUAAAUUUGGACAGCAGGGAUGUUCAGUAGAAAAGCAAUAACAGAAUACAUAGUUCAGAAUAUUCACAGGAUGUGCAAGACAAUCAUAAGUACCAUAAAAAAUGACCUGGUACUAAUAAGAGAAACCAGGUAAGGAUCAGACCUGGAAAUCCCGAGCACCCAAGAAACCAUAAAACAUCCAACACGUAAAACUUCUAUUUUUCAUAUGAGGUACUCUGGCUCCAGAUUUUACGGCAAAGCAUCCAAAAGAUGAACCAAGCAUCCAAUUUUUCUAACAGCAGAGCCAACCAUGAGCUACAGACCACAUAAAGCCGAGCUCCAAAAGCCAAACGCUAACCAGACAAGAACAAAUCUACAUCCUAUCCUAUUACAUGUCCCACCAGAAUCACAUUCUGAGCGACACGUGUCCGCAAAAAAAAAAACAUUCUGAACGACACAUGGCAUCUUCAUGUAUUAUAUGGAACUAGAGAAAUGUGAAGCAGGGGAGAACAUGUUGCUUCGUUAACA